UCCGAGUGGUUUCUGCUAAAGAAACCUUUUGUCAGUCCUAGAAACACUAACGAAUAAGGGGUGGGCAAGUUCUGGUGUCAGCCGCCGCGGUAAAACCAGCACCUCAAGUGGUCAGGAUGAUUAUUGGGCCUAAAGCAUCCGUAGCCCGUUUUGUAAGUUUUCGGUUAAAUCCAUGCGCUUAACGUAUGGGCUGCCGGGAAUACUGCAUAACUAGGAAGUGGGAGAGGUAGACGGUACUCGGUAGGAAGGGGUAAAAUCCUUUGAGCUAUUGAUGACCACCUGUGGCGAAGGCGGUCUACCAGAACACGUUCGACGGUGAGGGAUGAAAGCUGGGGGAGCAAACCGGGUUAGAUACCCGGGUAGUCCCAGCUGUAAACUAUGCAAACUCAGUGAUGCAUUGGCUUGUGGCCAAUGCAGUGCUGCAGGGAAGCCGUUAAGUUUGCCGCCUGGGAAGUACGUACGCAAGUAUGAAACUUAAAGGAAUUGGCGGGGGAGCACCACAAGGGGUGAAGCCUGCGGUUCAAUUGGAGUCAACGCCAGAAAUCUUACCCGGAGAGACAGCAGAAUGAAGGUCAAGCUGAAGACUUUACCAGACAAGCUGAGAGGUGGUGCAUGGCUGUCGCCAGCUCGUGCCGUGAGAUGUCCUGUUAAGUCAGGUAACGAGCGAGAUCCCUGC
rnacentral:rRNA from 1 species